AAUAUCCCUCCAUGGCCUCUGCAUCAGCUCCUGCUUCCUGACCUGCUUGACUUCUAGUCCUGCAUCCUUUGGUGAUCAACAGCGAUUUGGAAAGUCAUCUCUCAGCCUCAAGCCUUCUAUUCUCGUCAGAGUGCCUCAGGAGCAGCCGAUAGUCUUCAUGCCUACCCACUGCUGACCACUGCACCCAGCUUCUGCUUACUCUGCAACUGCGAUGGUACGAGGACCCUGCUGUAGGAGUCAACGCAAGUUUCCAGCAGUGUGUUAAUAGAUCCCUCUGUAUCACCUUACAGCCAUGACUCUGUAACCACAGUCAAGUUUCGCAGCCACUGAUUGACAGAUCUCACACCCCUUUAGUGUUCUCAAUCGCCUCUAUGAAAGUAUCAACAAGCAGUGAAAAACUAGCAGGCAGGAAGCAGAAAGAAGAAAGGAAAGCAGGACAGAGUAGUCUGCUGGCCUGUAUAGAAUCAAUGCUAACUGAAAGAAUCGGACUCUUCUAGGAAUGAGCACAGUCCACAAAUCUGUACUGGACACAUUUUACAAUGAAGACACUCACACUUUAAGUCUUUAUAUGAUCUGUAGCAAAAUUCUAAGACCAGAUAACCUGAUCAGUCACGCUUGAACAUUUGGGACCUUGCUGCUACUAUCUUUUGCAAUCUGCCAUACCUUUCGAAAGAGUGGAGGUGUAAUUAUUGUGGGAUAUAAAAGGAACUGCCUAUUUCAUUCAUUUUAGCACUGAAUAGUUGGGUAGGCAAGUACUUAAUAUAAUUCCCCUAUCUUUAAGCUACAUUAAAGGAGAACUUCAUUGAAUAUUUUUGAAUAGUCUGUAUAUUUAAGAACACAGCAAAAUGUGAUUUAUACAUAUUAAUUUUUAUCUCAAGUGUACGUAUGUCAAAAUACAAGGCCUGGCAAGUAAUGAUACCUUGUAUUACUGAUUCUUUACGUUUUUUCUUUACAUUCAAAUUAGGACACAGCCUGGUGCACACAAGCCAUGACCCUACCCUAGACUGAAGGAAGUAGAAACCUGAGUGAUGGCUUUAAGGGACUGAGCGUUUUCCCCUUCAGAUUCCCUUAGUUUUCUCCUGAGCCACCCCGUUAUGUGGCCAGUCCACAGGGAGAGUGCAAGGGACCAGCAGGAGUCUUCAUGAAGGAGGGCCUGUGGACAGCCUUCCUGAUGUCUGGCAUUAGACUCAAACAGGCAUUUAGACAGCAGAAGCAUAUUAGAGCAAACAGAAGGAAAAAAAGGUUUUAUUGUAUACGUUAUUCCAAACAAAUAUAAUCAGAUAAAGGCAAAGAAUAGUUCAGUUUAAAAAAAGAAAACAGUAAAGUAACUUAAAAAGAGGAAGCUAGAUAUUAGAAAAUAACCUUAAGUAAGAGGAAGAGGUUGUUGAGACAGCUCAGCAGAGACAAAAGGCACUGAAGGACACAGUCAUCCAUACUCCCACACUGUAAGAUAAGGCAGACAAAAGGCCAGUUAAACUAUGUACAGAUUUUAAAAGGAAUUCAAGGAAGAUAACUAGACUGGCUUGUUUGACCAAUGGCCAUGCUUUAAUUUUUCUAGAGAAUAUAUCUUUGUGUAAAGUACAUUAUCAGAAUUAUUCACCUCAAUUUUCUGUCCUUAACUGAAGCUAUCAUGAUGUGUUUUUUAAAAUCAUACUGUUUAUUCCAUAGUUGUUGCUAAUGUUAGUUACUCUAGUAAGUCAGUAAGAUAAAAAAAAACAUAUGAAAAAUAUCUUUCUUAAAGAAUUACUACACAAAACUGUAUGCUCUGAUAACUUUAUGAAUAGUUAGCAAAUGGCAAACUGAGACUACUCCCAAAUUUGAAUGAAACUUCAAUAUCCAACUAACAUUUUAUUAUCUCCAUUCAUAUGGCUUCAGUAUCUGAUUACCACUGUCCCUUGGGCAUCUGCUCUGCCGCAGUGGCAAACAGUAACUCAAUGAAUCAUGAACUUUACUUUUCAGAUAAAAUUUAUGGUCUCAGAUUCACUUUAGAUUUCACUAAGCAUUGUAUUAUUUCUUAUUAAUUAUAUUAGAUCACAGAGACAAACCAGCAAGAAGAACUUAGUGUUAGAAGACCACCAUCAGACAGUCUGGAAAUUUCCAUGCUCAUCCCUCCUUCCCACUCUGAGAUAGCUCUCAAGUGGCCCAGGCCGGUCUUAAACUCUGUAGGUUGCUGAGGAAUGGCCUUGAAUUCUGAUCCUUUUGUGUCAGCCUCCCAACUUCUAGGAUUUACAGUGUGCACCACCAUGCCAGUCUGUUUGUACCUUAGGGUGUUGCUGACAUUACUUCUGAAGGGCUGGCAAUGAAGCUGCUUUUGAGAUGCACAGAUGCCAAUAAAAAGAUUCAUAUAGUCAUCAAACCCUGGAAAUGCUAGGGAAAAUAUCUCGGCUCAUGACAAAAUAGUUACUAAACUUCAGAGAACAUCAAAAAUAGUACUAUGAUUCUAGUAGUUGGCAUGGUAUAAGCAAUAAUGAAAAUGUAACAUGUAACAUUAUGUUAACAGUAGCUUUUUUUUUUUUAGCAAGCAGCAGCUAUAAAGCAUGAAGAUAAAAGGAGAGAAAUACCUUCAGCUGAUUGUUAAAUGAAUCCAUUUCUGAGAGCUUAGAUGCAGUUUCUUUUUCAAGAGCAUCUAAUUGUUCUUUAAGUCUUUGGCAUAAUUCUUCCUUUUCUGAUGACUUUUUAUGAAGUAAACUGAUCCCUGAAUCUGAAGUACAAAAAUAUCAAGUCAGGUCACAUUUGGCAAAUACUCAUGUCAUUUCCUGUCUGGUCAAAAUGAUGUAACUAAAGAGAUACAGAAGGUAUAUAAUACAGAGACAAUCCUUUUUAUUUCCAAAUAAUACCUUGUAAAGAUUCUCAAAGGAAAUGGAUACAAAGAUUAGUUCUGUACUGAAAGAUCAGGUCUUGAAAAACUCCAAAGCAGAAAAGGUGUUUGAGCAAACACAAGGAGCAUGCUACCAUCUACCUCAUUACGUGAGGUGACUCUGAAGCCACGGCCUAUCGUGGGUAAGCGCUCAGCUAACAGCAUGUGCUCCUCAGGUACCUUCCUGCAUACUGACAAUGAUCUAAGAACAGAGAACUACUCAUAGCAGGGACCCAAUAAGCAUUAAUAACAGGGUUAUUUAAUGACACAUUUUAUGAGGUAAAGAGAGAGGGUUUCACUGUACAUGAUUUUUAAAAAACAUAUACAGGAUAGAGGAUAGAGAAACUAGGUAUAAAAAGAGUAUUUUCUAUUAUUUUCUAUUAAAAUGAAAUAGUAAAAUUUCUAUCUAAAUUCAUAACCUAAAAUUUUGUAUUUUUAGGGUAUAAAAAUCAAGUAUAGAAUUUGAAUAAAAUUAAACAUAUGGUG
rnacentral:lncRNA from 1 species